ACAGAUGAGGGGAGAGAAGGAGGACAGCGAGGCUGCCGCCAGAGGGUCCCUGGGCCGGGACCCAGAGCAGAGGGCCGACCUCGGUCCCCCCCUUCCACCCCUUACAAUACACCCAGCCAUUGGCCGUGGGGAGCAGCCAUCACAGACUACAUCAGAUCCCUGACAGGAGGGAUUAGACUUUGGGGGUGUGGUUGGACAUGGUAGCUGGGGUGUAGAAAGACUGCUGAUCAUCCCCCCCCCAGAAGGGGGUGUGGACGAACUAAGGGGCACUACUGGAGGGCAGUGGUUCUGAAGAGGACGCUGCGAGCUGAAGAGCAACGUGGGCUCAGACGCCAACCAAGGGCGAGACAACAGGCAGGACACCACCAGGAGAGGGCGCUCCACUGGACUGAGCUAAUUCCCGGAGACACCAGCAGGAGGCGCUGCGGCGGUGAGUCCCAACCCUGUCACACCAUCCCCGUCCCAACAAGAAGUGACAAUUCCGGCACUUCAGAUGCAGGUGAACACAAGCUGGAUGAUUUUUUGUUACAUUGUGAAGCUUUGGAAGCAAUCAAUUUUAAAACAGUCAGCAAAGCAACACGGGAAACUGUUGAAAAAUUUGCAAUACCAUUUGAUUGCAUCACUGCAGUUGUGACUGAUAAUGCCAUGUACCUGGGGAAGGCUUGGCAUCGAGUUUUGAAACCUUUGUUUUUAAAUGCUGUACACCUUACAUGCAUGGCACAUUUGCUUAAGCUUUGGGCAAUCUGUGCAGGAAGAUACUCUUGAAAGUAAUUGAAUUAGUUGUGGCUGUAAAACGUGCUUUCACGGCCUGCCCUGCCAGAAAAGCCUGGUUCUGCAUGUUUCUAAUGGAAAGAGGGAAAAGUCCUUCCAUUCCACCAACCCCCAUAAUAACCAGAUGGAACAGCUGGUUCAAUGCAGCUAUUUAUGACACUGAACACACUGAGGAUUAUGUUUCAUUUUUUUACAGAGGAGAAUGGUCAUAGAAGUAGUUCAGGUGUUCAAGAGUUUGUUGAUCUUUGCCAAUCCACAGCAGUUAUUGAAAAACUCCAGGCUCUAAAAGAGUUUGCACCCCACUCAUGAACAUGCUUCCAGCUGUUGAACCACCCACAGUUUGUGCUCAUCAAGUCAAAAAUGACAUGGAGCAGUUCAAGAAUUGAGGAACGAGGACGUAUUCCUGUUCUGGAGAAGCAUGAUGGCCAGAUUCCCGCUCAGUCAUGUAAACUGAAGGUCUGAACUAGCUUGGGGUUCAAAUAGAAGGAAGCAAAUCCAGAUCUGCUGUCAGUUCAGAGUGGGUCUGGUUUCCAGAGAAACACAACGCGCACACAUGCAUGCAGAUGGACAUUUCUUAAGGGACAAAUCCAACAUCCUUUCAUACACUUUGACAGAAAAAAAUUCUGCAACUGAAUCCAGUCUGCCGCCUUCUCUUCCUGUCUGGGUUACCUGGCAAACUGAUAGCUAAAAGCAGCCAAUGUCAACAUGUGCAUGGGGGUGUCGGAGCACUAGUGAUGCAGUACCUUGCGUCUGUCUCCCUCGGAUUUAGUUCUUGACAACAUGGCCAGAGUUUGCUUGCUCUCUUCUCAGGAAAAUAUUCACAGUCAGUCGGGCCCAGACCAUAUAAGGUUUUUCAAUUUCUGUCACCACUUCCAUUAACACUUUGGGAUGGCACCUGGACUGGGUGCCUUGUCAGUUGGAAGGAUCUCUGACCUUUUAAAUAAGCAUUUUGACUGUUAUCUGCACUGAAGAUAUGCUGAACAGGUUAGUCAGUUGAUACCUACUUUACAUCAGACUGCCAUUGUUAUUUAGGGGAAGCAAGUAUUGAUACAGCCCUUGGGAAAUUCAGGGGAAGGAAAUACUUCUGAUGAAGUUAACAGACUAUUUAAUGUCAGUACUGAUGUAUACAGAUGUAGCUGAAAGAGGAGA